rnacentral:sRNA from 1 species
AUUGUCUAAAGCCCCAGGAAAAAUGGUGGAAAAUUCACCGUCGCCAUUGCCAGAAAGAGCGAUUUAUGGCUUUGUCCUUUUCUUAAGCUCCCAAUUUGGCUUCAAUAUUGGGCAGUUGCAUUACCUGUCUACCUCCUUAUUGCUAUAGUAAUUGGCUACGUGCUCUUGUUUGGGAUUAACAUGAUGAGUACCUCUCCACUCGACUCCAUCCAUACAAUCACAGAUAACUAUGCAAAAAAUCAACAGCAGAAGAAAUACCAAGAGGAGGCCAUUCCAGCCUUAAGAGAUAUUUCUAUUAGUGAAGUAAACCAAAUGUUCUUUCUUGCAGCCAAAGAACUUUACACCAAAAACUGAACUGUGUGUAACCAUAGUAACACCAAGCACGUAUUUAUUUAUAAGUUUUUGCCAUUAUAAUUUUGACCAUAAAUUAAUUUGACCAUCUCUCUUAUUAAUAGAGAAGUAAAAAAUGUAAGUUGACCUUCUCUUAGAUUAUGUUCAAUGAAUAUUGUAAAUGUUCAAGUAUUGUUAAUGAAUAGAAUAAAUACAAUAUUGCAUUCCCAUA